CGCAUACUCCUUCCAUGAGGAAUUACUUGUCGGGAAAAUGGAUGUAUCUAGACGUAUUUUUAUUCUAGAUACAUUCAUUUUUAUACAUUUCUGUGACAAGUAAUUCUAGACCGGGGAAGUAUUUG
rnacentral:pre_miRNA from 1 species